GCAGGGGGAUCUCUGUGCGUUUGUAGCCAGCCUGCUCUACAGAGUGAGUUCCAGGGCAGUCGGGUAUAGAGAGAAACCCCAUCCUAAGCAAGCAAAAAAGAGGAGCUCAAGGUGAUGAGAAUCCAAAGGCCAUGUGAAGACAUGAGGUAAUAACCAUCUAGAUGCUAAGAGAACAAAUGAAGCAGGCAGACACAUUGUCUUCUCUCUACUUCUUGACUUCCAAAAUCUUGACUUGCUUUUGGUUGUUAGCUGUCUUUAAUUUGUGAAUCUGGAGGCUGGAGAGAUGGCUCAGCUGUCAAGUGCCCUGGCUACUCUUCCAAAGGAUCCAGGUUUGAUUACCAGCACCCACAUGGCAGCUCACAACCAUCUGCACCUCCAGGUCUAGGGGAUACAGUGCUCUCUUCUGGCUAAUGCAGGUACCGGGCGUGUGCGCCGUGUGCAGACAUACAUACAGGCAAAACACACAUAAAAAUUUUAAAUAAAUGUUCGAGGGGACAUGGUGACAUUCAUGGGAUCCAAAUCUUAAAAUUUAAGUGAAAGUUAAAUAGGCAAAUAGGGGCUGGAAGGAACUUGACAUAGAGUAUGGUAGGCAGUGUUCAGUUUUUCUGAAACAAAAGGAACCUGGAGAUGAAGCUAGGAAGUCAGGCAAGUUCUACAGGUUUAAACAUUUCUGAGAGUUCUGUGAUAUGACUGAAUGAGUUUAAGCUGAAUAGCAUAGUCCUCUUUUAAAAGAUUAUUUUAGGACUGCGAGUGUUUUGCUCAUAUCCUUGGAGGCCGGAAGAGAGCACCAGAUUCCUUAGGACUAACAGACUGGAGUUAUGGAUAGUUGUGAACCACCAUGUGGCUGCUGGGAAUCAACUUGGGCCCUCUGCAAGAACAAGUGCUCUUAGUCACCGAGCCAUCUCCAAAUCAUAUAUCAGAGAUCACGUUGGGAACUGGGUGGAGGUAGAGGAAUUAAAAUUUGCAGGUUGAAAGCCAUUAGAAGCCUAGAGCCUGGACCAAAGCACACAUCUUUCUUCUCUGUUCUGAUGGUUUGCAUAUGCUUGACCCAGGGAGUGGCACUAUUAGAAGGGGUGGCCUUGUUGGAGGAAGUGUGUCACUGUGGGGUGGGCUUGGAGACCCUCCUCCUAGCUGCCUGAGGAUGCUCAAGUCUGUUCCUGGCUUCCUUCAGGUGAAGAUGUAGAACUCAGCUCCUCCUGCACCAUGCCUGCCUGGAUGCCAUCAUCUUCCUGCCUUGAUGAUAAUGGACUGAACCUCUGAACCUGUCACACUCUGGAAGGAAAAGGACUCUUCUUCCAAGAGACUUCACAGCCUCAGACCAUCCAUGCUGGAAAGUUGGCUGGCCCCAUCGUUUGCAGACAGCCACAGCAGCACAAGAGUUUCAGGGCAGCAGUCUGUCCUACUCAGAAGACACCAUUUCCCAUCAGUCCUUCCUACCCAUAGAAUCUUACAAGUCUGGCCUCUUACUGUCUUUCUGCUUCCUCCUCUUGGAUGUUUCCUGAGCCUCGUGAGGCAGGGCAUCACCACCGUCCCUGGCUCUGUGGUCAAUUCUGAAAACACCAUUAUCUGUGGAUGUUUUGUGUCACUGUGCGGCUUGCUCUGUCCUGGAGUUUUAACUGGGAUAUGUCUGUAUACUGCGUGCCACAUGCAUGCCUGUGGAAAUCAGAAAGUUGGUACUGGAUCCCUGGAACUGAAGUACAGACAGUUGUAAGCCACCAUGCUGGGAAUUGACCCUGAGCCUUCUGCAAGAGCAAUAAGUACUCUUAACUGCUGAGCCAUCUCUCCAGCCCCAGUUUCUAUUGAUCUGAAAGACUACUUUUCUUUCCUUGCAUGGUACAUUUUCAUUUGUUUGUUUGGUGUUUUUAUUGUUGUUGUUGGGGGUUGGUUUGAUUUGGGUGCCUGAAAAGUAGCAAUUGGAAGCAGACAUUUAGGACGGUCUCUGCAGCUCCCUAGUCAGCAUACACAGCACAAAGCAGAACAGACACAGUGGGGUUGGUUAGGCCUUAUUUAAUUGCUUCAUAUCCCACAGAAUACUCUCCUGGCCACAAUAUUUGCUACAGUUUCUGCCUUUUAUCUCUGGAUUGCCUUACAUAUAAUUUCUGAAGCAUUCUUCAAGGUCAAGACCUAGCACCCCUUGCACCCCACCCAACACCACAACAAAAAUUGGAUAAUAUUGUUGGCACAAAUAGCAUCUCCACAGUUUCCCUGCAACUCUUCUGUGGGAACAAUUAGAGAAGUCCCACAGCUACAUCUGGCUCUCCCAGGAAACCACAGGUCACAGAGGUGGCAGUAAAGUCAAGCAACAUUAGCAAGAGAAGGAGGGAAGGAGGUGAGAGAGGAUCUGAGAACUUUUAAUUGGAAAGUGGAAAGAUAAGCACAGAGGUAAAAAUGGCUGAGGUUUUAAAGGCAGCCAGAGAAGGACUGCUGGAGACCUCUCCAUCCUGCCGGCAGAUGCCACAUCAUGCCAAGACCCACACAUUUACCAACAUGAAAAGGGCACAGAAGCUUAUCAAAAUGAAAGGGAGAAAGCCCCGAGUCUGAACAUCCCAGGAGAAAUGACAGACACAACAAGGCCAGUGGGCCUAGGUCCACGUGAGGAAGAACAAACACAGAUACAGAGAAGCUCAAACCCUAGCCAGGUCUUGACACCAAGUAGACAAUGGCUGAUGAGAAGCAGAGCCCAGCACAGGCUGUGGCCCAAACCAACAGCCAAACCAGAUUGGGUUUAAUUUGUGAGCCAAGGUCUCACAGAGCUGUUCUCAGCCCUUAGGACACUUCAAGUGGGUGAUCAGGCGGAGCUUUCAUGGCAGGCUAGGAAUCAGGGAACCCAAUGGCUCUUCCCAAUCCAUUCUGAGAUGUUGAUCUUUAGUGGUAAAGCAAUUUUUAUAUUGUUUGCCCCAGUGGCUUUUUGUUGUUGUUCUGUUUUACAAGACAGGAUCUUACCAUCCUGGAACUCACUAUACAGACCAAGCUGAUCUUGAUCUCAGAGAUUCAUCUACCUCUACUUUCCUAGUGCUGGGAUUAAAGGUGUACUCCACAUGCAGCUCAACACCCUCAUGAUUUCGAGUAAUGAUCAAACUACGUUUCUUUCUUUUGGUUUUCGUUUGUUUGUCUAUGUCUAUGCACAUAUCUGCAUGUUUGUAAUGCACACAUUCAUUUGAGGGCCCAAGGAGACCAGAAGAGGGCUCCUAAUUCCCAACAUCUGUGAGCCACCCAACACAGGGAGUGGUGACCAAACUAUUUCUCCGCAAAUCUUCAUUGUAACUUGACUAGAUUUAGAAUCCCUCAGGGGAUUGGUGGGUCAAAGCUCUUGCAUGCGUGUGGAAGAGAGAGAGAGAGAGAGAGAGAGAGAGAGAGAGAGAGAGAGAGAGAGAGAGAGAGAGAGAGCAACUCACCGAAGUAUACGAGUCGCCAACCCAUGGAUAGGGAGCAGUAGAAUGGAAAGAGAAAAGCAGAGAGCCAGCAUCCCUUUCUCUCUGCUUCCUGAAAUGCUCUUCCCCACUUCCCCACUGUAGACUGACACCUCUGUAACCAUGAGCCAAAAUAAGUAAAUCCUCAUUCAACUUCAUUUUCCUUAGGUAUUUGGUCUCAGCGAUGAGAAAAGUAAUGAACACCCUGAGGGUAAACUAUGAAAUGUUUGUAUGUCUCAUCUAUAAAAUGGGGAUAAUAAAUCCAAAAGGUUGUUGGGAAGAUUAUUGUAAACCAUUAGAAGACUGCCUUGCACAUAAAGUCCAUGCACGAUAGUGAGCUAUGUGUUCCCUGGGAGAUUCCUGGAGGUAGCUAUCAGUCACCAGCAAGGAACUCAGAAUUGUUCAGUGCUGGGGAAAACUUGAGAAACAAAGUCCCCACAGUUACAGGAGGUAAUAACAGAACUGGAUUUGGAAAUCUUGGUAAGGGCCCAGAGCUCAAAAUCCAAUGAUUAGAAUGAAUGGGAAAGAUAAAAAAUCAAGUGAAACAAGAUAUCAGAGGAAAACAAUUCUAUUGGCUAAGGUGUGGAAACAGAGUAAGGAGUAUCUUGGAGAGACCAGCAAGGGAAACCAUGUCACCAGAAGCAUCAUGUGACAGCAAUGACAGGAGCCAUCAGAGAUGGGCUGUGCAGAGGAGACAGUGAACCCCAGGAUCAGAUACAUGGAGUUGUGGAGAAUGCCUCAAAAUGACAUAAUGGCAUCAAAAAUAACAAAGGGGUCUCUAUAAAACCCAACCCUUGAUAUCUGGAUACAGUGAUAACGUGUGUGUGACUGCAGAGCUGCCCCAACAGUAAGGGUUUCCUGAGCCAAAGCCCAAGAGGAGCCCUAAAGAGACACACUCACUGUAUCAUAGUUGUCCUUCAAGGUGUUCUAAUUUUGGAAGGCAAGCAGAGAUGUGUCAGGUUCACAAAAUGGUGUAAGAAAAUGAAAGGAAACAGGGCUCUGAGGGACAGAGUGUCUGCCAAAUACCCUGCUUCCAGUUGGAGCCUCAAAGUAGGUUGAACUAACUACAACCCUCAGUACUUUCACAGAAAUUUCAAAGUCAGUUUUAGAUAUUUUAUUUAGAAAGCUAGUUGUUUUAGUUACAGUUUUACUGCUGUGAGCAGACACCAUGACCAAGGCAAGUCUUAUAAAAGACAACAUUUAAUUGGUCCUGGCUUACAAGUCCAGAGGUUCAGUCCAGUAUCAUCAAGGUAGGAACAUGGCAGCAUCCAGGCAGGCAUGGUGCAGGAGGAGCUGAGAGUUCUGCAUCUUUCAUCUGAAAGCUGACUGACUUCCAGACAGCUAUGAGUAGGGUCUUAAAGCCCACGCCCACAGAGGCACACCUACUCCAACAAGGCCACACUUCCAAAUAGUGCCAUUCCCUGAGCCAGGCAUAUACAAACCAUCAUAUUUGUGUGUGGGGGGGGGAGGGGCAUAGGAGGAGCACAAAACAGUUUAUUUGGCUUACACCUUCACAGUACAGUUCAUCAUCAAAGUCAGGACAGGAGCUUUAGCAGGGUAGGGACCUGGAGGCAGGAGCUGAUGCAGAGCCAUAGUGGGGUGCUGCUUCCUGGCUUGUUCCUCGUGGCUUGCCCAGCUUGCUUUCUUAUAGAACUCAGGACCACCUCCUCAGGAGUGGCACUACUCACAAUGUGCUGGGUCCUCCUUCACCAAUCACUAACUAAUUUAUGUCAACUUGAUAUAAAGCUAGUUACUUUUUUAAAUCUGUAAAUAGAAUUAAUUUGAGGAAAAUUGAUCUCUUUGUAAAUAAUUGCCUUUCCCAAUAAUACGGGGUAGCCUGCUUACUCAGAUAAUUCUAGAAGGCAGUUUUACAGUGUUAUGAUUUCUCCCUUGGCAUUGUGUCUACAGGCUUUCUGUUACUUUUACGGAACAUCUGAGGUAAUCAACUUCAACAAGAAGAAGGGUCUAUUUUGGCUCCUGGUUUUGGAGUGUCCAGACUAUGAUCUAAUCCCAUCUCUCGUAUUACACCACAGCGAGAGUGCAGUAGGAGACACUGCUCACCUCCUGGCCGAAAGCAAAGCCCCAGGAACAGCCCUGCAGCCCCCUCUGAGAGCAAGGCCCCAAGGACCAGAACGUGACUAUUCUCCCCAUUAAUGCUACUGCUGCUGUCCAGCAGCACCGAGGGCUCAGGAUGAAGCCUUUGGCACUGGGGCAUGGGGGUGGGGUGGAGAGUGGGUUGGAGGAUGGGUAGGUUGGGAGUAGGGGGUGGAGGAGUGGGAAGUGUGAGGGUGUGAGGCUGCACCGGGGAAGAAGCCUCUCACACAGAGACCACACAGAGGUUCUGAGGUUGUAUGUCAGGCUAAUCUCCAGAUGUUUCGCAGUUCCCACUGCCGUUGAAAGCGGUUGCUUGGAUAUAAGUAGUUAUGCGAUUGUAAGGGGCAUAGACAAGAGCAUAGCUGCAUAACAUGGUAUCCAGAAUCACUGUGGAACUUUCAUGUCCACAUGCCGUGAGCUGCAGAAUAGGACAAGCUGGCAAAGACGCUUCAACUCUCCUGUUUUUACUGUCUUCCCAAGUAAGACAGGAAAUGCAAUAGGUAUUUAAUGUAGAGCAGAACUGGUUCAAAAUUUUCCAACCCCCAGAUGAUAGAAAUGUACCCCAUGUUUAUAAAAGGUUAAAAUGCAUUUUAUAAAAGAGGGGUUUCAUUAAAGUUAACACAAGGGUCAUCUUCGCACUGGCCAAUUGUGGCAAAAAAAAUCUAAUUCGGUCCACAUUUCUUACUAUUUGCUGAUAGCAUCGCCUUCCUCAUGUCUAAUACGAACAGACUGGGAUGUUUUAUUUAUGCAAUGAACUUACAAUCUUCUACACUAACGAUGCUGAAAAUAAACAGAUGUGUAAAACUGA